UACGUAGGGUGCAAGCGUUAUCCGGAAUGAUUGGGCGUAAAGCGUCUGUAGGUGGCUUUUUAAGUCCGCCGUCAAAUCCCAGGGCUCAACCCUGGACAGGCAGUGGAAACUACCCAAGCUGGAGUACGGUAGGGGCAGAGGGAAUUUCCGGUGGAGCGGUGAAAUGCGUAGAGAUCGGAAAGAACACCAACGGCGAAAGCAACUCUGCUGGGCCGACACUGACACUGGAGAGACGAAAGCUAGGGGAGCGAAUGGG
rnacentral:rRNA from 1 species